rnacentral:rRNA from 1 species
GACGAACGCUGGCGGCGUGCCUAAUACAUGCAAGUAGAACGCUGAAGGAGGAGCUUGCUUCUCUGGAUGAGUUGCGAACGGGUGAGUAACGCGUAGGUAACCUGCCUGGUAGCGGGGGAUAACUAUUGGAAACGAUAGCUAAUACCGCAUAAUAGUAGAUGUUGCAUGACAUUUGCUUAAAAGGUGCAAUUGCAUCACUACCAGAUGGACCUGCGUUGUAUUAGCUAGUUGGUGAGGUAACGGCUCACCAAGGCAACGAUACAUAGCCGACCUGAGAGGGUGAUCGGCCACACUGGGACUGAGACACGGCCCAGACUCCUACGGGGAGCAGCAGUAGGGAAUCUUCGGCAAUGGACGGAAGGCUGACCGAGCAACGCCGCGUGAGUGAAGAAGGUUUUCGGAUCGUAAAGCUCUGUUGUAAGAGAAGAACGAGUGUGAGAGUGGAAAGUUCACACUGUGACGGUAUCUUACCAGAAAGGGACGGCUAACUACGUG